rnacentral:rRNA from 1 species
UUUCCUACGGGGGGCAGCAGUAGGGAAUCUUCCACAAUGGACGAAAGUCUGAUGGAGCAACGCCGCGUGAGUGAAGAAGGGUUUCGGCUCGUAAAGCUCUGUUGGUAGUGAAGAAAGAUAGAGGUAGUAACUGGCCUUUAUUUGACGGUAAUUACUUAGAAAGUCACGGCUAACUACGUGCCAGCAGCCGCGGUAAUACGUAGGUGGCAAGCGUUGUCCGGAUUUAUUGGGCGUAAAGCGAGCGCAGGGGGUUCAAUAA